ACUCCUACGGGAGGCAGCAGUGGGGAAUAUUGCACAAUGGGGAAACCCUGAUGCAGCCAUGCCGCGUGUGUGAAGAAGGCCUUCGGUUGUAAAGCACUUUCAGUAGGGAGGAAGGUAGUGUAGUUAACACCUGCAUUAUUUGACGUUACCUACAGAAGAAGCACCGGCUAACUCCGUGCCAGCAGCCGCGGUAAUACGGAGGGGUGCGAGCGUUAAUCGGAAUUACUGGGCGUAAAGCGCAUGCAGGCGGCCUGUUAAGUCAGAUGUGAAAGCCCGGGGGCUUAACCUCGGAAUUGCAUUUGAAACUGGCAGGCUAGAGUCUUGUAGAGGGGGGUAGAAUUUCAGGUGUAGCGGUGAAAUGCGUAGAGAUCUGAAGGAAUACCAGUGGCGAAGGCGGCCCCCUGGACAAAGACUGACGCUCAGAUGCGAAAGCUGGGGAGCAAACAGGAUUAGAUACCCUGGUAGCACAGAG
rnacentral:rRNA from 1 species